UACGUAGGCAGCAAGCGUUGUUCGGAAUUACUGGGCGUAAAGGGCGCGUAGGCGGCACACUAAGUACGAUGUGAAAUCUCCCUGCUCAACGGGGAGGGUGCAUAGUAAACUGGUGAGCUAGAGGACGGUAGAGGGGGGUGGAAUUGCUGGUGUAGCGGUGAAAUGCGUAGAGAUCAGCAGGAACACCCGUGGCGAAGGCGGCCAUCUGGGACAACACUGACGCUGAAGCACGAAAGCGUGGGGAGCAAACAGG
rnacentral:rRNA from 1 species